rnacentral:rRNA from 1 species
GUCUACGGCCAUACCACGUUGAAAACACCGGUUCUCGUCUGAUCACUGAAGUUAAGCAACGUCGGGCCCGGUUAGUACUUGGAUGGGUGACCGCCUGGGAAUACCGGGUGCUGUAGACUUUU